rnacentral:misc_RNA from 1 species
CAAGAUAUCGAUAAUAAUCUCCUUUCAUUUUGUAGUAAAACACAGUUGAUUCACCAGCAGUACAUGACGGAAUCAGAUGCUCAUCAAUCACAGUCAUGAUAUUAUUGCAAAUGUCGGUGAGCUCUGACUCUACUUUUUGGCGGUACCCCUGGAUCCGCUUCACAUUCUGCUCAUUUCCUCUAGCAUCUUCCUUCUGCUCGAUGGAAGACAAGAUCCUCCAUGACGCUCUCCUAGAUCCAACCACAUUCUUAUAACCAACAGAUAACAAAUUCCUCUCCUCCACUGUCAGUUCAACAUCCAGAUUCGCAACAUUCUUCAUUGCAUCAACCAUCUCAUCGUAGCGUUCAGCUUGCUCAGCAAGCCUGGCGAUGUAUACCAAGUUUUCACGUUCUUUGGAUGAAGCCAUUUUCCGAUCUUCUCUUUGAGUUGAAAAAAAAAAUGGAGAUUUUUAUCUUCUUUCUUCUUUUGUUUCACCCUUUUUUGAUGUGUAGCAGCUACAAAAUGUUCUUUUUACUUGAAAAUGAUUUUUCAGCAGUCGCACAACAAGAGUGAAAAUAUAUCAAAAGAAGG